GAUGAACGCUAGCGGGAGGCCUAACACAUGCAAGCUGAGCGGUAGAGAUCUUUCGGGAUCUUGAGAGCGGCGUACGGGUGCGGAACACGUGUGCAACCUGCCUUUAUCAGAGGGAUAGCCUUUCGAAAGGAAGAUUAAUACCUCAUAAUAUAAUGAAUGGCAUCAUUUAUUAUUGAAAACUCCGGUGGAUAGAGAUGGGCACGCGCAAGAUUAGAUAGUUGGUGAGGUAACGGCCCACCAAGUCGAUGAUCUUUAGGGGGCCUGAGAGGGUGAUCCCCCAGACUGGUACUGAGACACGGACCAGACUCCUACGGGAGGCAGCAGUGAGGAAUAUUGGACAAUGGGUCAGCGCCUGAUCCAGCCAUCCCGCGGGAAGGACGACGGCCCUAUGGGUUGUAAACUUCUUUUGUACAGGGAUAAACCUACCCUCGUGAGGGUAGCUGAAGGUACUGUACGAAUAAGCACCGGCUAACUCCGUGCCAGCAGCCGCCGUAAAAC
rnacentral:rRNA from 1 species